UCCAGACUCCUACGGGAGGCAGCAGUGGGGAAUAUUGCACAAUGGGGGAAACCCUGAUGCAGCGACGCCGCGUGAGCGAAGAAGUACCUCGGUAUGUAAAGCUCUAUCAGCAGGGAAGAAGAUGACGGUACCUGACCAAGAAGCUCCGGCUAAAUACGUGCCAGCAGCCGCGGUAAUACGUAUGGAGCAAGCGUUAUCCGGAUUUACUGGGUGUAAAGGGGGCGCAGACGGCAAUGCAAGCCAGGAGUGAAAGCCCGGGGCCCAACCCCGGGACUGCUCUUGGAACUGCAUGGCUGGAGUACAGGAGGGGCAGGCGGAAUUCCUAGUGUAGCGGUGAAAUGCGUAGAUAUUAGGAGGAACACCAGUGGCGAAGGCGGCCUACUGGACGGUGACUGACGCUGAGGCUCGAAAGCGUGGGGAGCAAACAGGAUUAGAUACCCCAGUAA
rnacentral:rRNA from 1 species